AUCAAUGUUAGCAUCACUGGUCUUUGAACGCCACACCACCGAGUCCUCCUAAACACAGCUCAGAGCUAUGUUUAGUGUCCCGCUGUGACGCGCUGAUGUUCAGAUUUCACCAGUUUGAAGAGAACAUCAGGUCACUGAGACUGCACCACCUGCUGUCUGAGGUCCAGGAGAAGAGCAGCAGCAGGAGCAGCUGACAGGUGGAGCUGGUGGAGCUUGUUGUUCCUGUGUGAACAAACUACUGACUGAAGUCCACAAGAAGAUGAUGAUGGAGGAAGAGGAGGACAGAGCAGAGUCUGCAGGAUCCAGCUGUCCGUCUGUGAGGAGUGACCGGUCCAAAGGUCUACCUCCAGAUUUCAGUGGUGAACCUGGACCAACAAGAGGUCAGAGGUCACAGUCUGCAGGGUCCAGCUGUCCGUCUGUGAGGAGUGACCGGUCCAAAACUCCACCUCCACACUUCAGUGCUGAACCUGGAGCAACGAGGUCAGAGAGCUGUGAUGACUCCUUUACAUGUUUGUGUUUCCUGGAUAAAUCUGACCUGAAACAUCCUCAGAUUGUUACAAAGAUUCAUUAAAAAGAAAA